rnacentral:rRNA from 1 species
AACGAACGCUGCGGCAUGCCUAACACAUGCAAGUCGAACGAGACCUUCGGGUCUAGUGGCGCACGGGUGCGUAACGCGUGGGAACCUGCCCUUAGGUUCGGAAUAACUCCCCGAAAGGGGUGCUAAUACCGGAUAAUGUCUUCGGACCAAAGAUUUAUCGCCUUUGGAUGGGCCCGCGUUGGAUUAGCUAGUUGGUAGGGUAAAAGCCUACCAAGGCGACGAUCCAUAGCUGGUCUGAGAGGAUGAUCAGCCACACUGGGACUGAGACACGGCCCAGACUCCUACGGGAGGCAGCAGUGGGGAAUAUUGGACAAUGGGCGAAAGCCUGAUCCAGCAAUGCCGCGUGAGUGAUGAAGGCCUUAGGGUUGUAAAGCUCUUUUACCCGGGAUGAUAAUGACAGUACCGGGAGAAUAAGCGCCGGCUAACUCCGUG